rnacentral:rRNA from 1 species
GUAGGUGGCAAGCGUUGUCCGGAAUUAUUGGGCGUAAAGCGCGCGCAGGCGGGGUCCUUUAAGUCUGAUGUGAAAGCCCACGGGCUCAACCGUGGAGGGUCAUUGGAAACUGGGGGACUUGAGUACAGAAGAGGAAAGCGGAAUUCCAAGUGUAGCGGUGAAAUGCGUAGAGAUUUGGAGGAACACCAGUGGCGAGGGCGGCUUUCUGGUCUGUAACUGACGCUGAGGCGCGAAAGCGUGGGGAGCAAACAGGAUUAGAUACCCUGGUAGUCCACGCCGUAAACGAUGAGUGCUAAGUGUUAGGGGGUUUCCGCCCCUUAGUGCUGCAGCUAACGCAUUAAGCACUCCGCCUGGGGAGUACGGCCGCAAAGGCUG